rnacentral:rRNA from 1 species
ACGGAAGGCAGCAGUGGGGAAUAUUGGGCAAUGGGCGCAAGCCUGACCCAGCAAUGCCGCGUGAAGGAAGAAGGCUUUCGGGUUGUAAACUUCUUUUAAGUGGGACGACAAUGACGGUACCACUUGAAUAAGCUCCGGCUAACUACGUGCCAGCAGCCGCGGUAAUACGGAGGAUGCGAGCGUUAUCCGGAUUUAUUGGGUUUAAAGGGUGCGUAGGCGGGAUGUUAAGUCAGCGGUGAAAGCGUGUAGCUCAACUAUACCAAGCCGUUGAAACUGGCGUUCUUGAGUGUAAACGAGGUAGGCGGAAUGUGACGUGUAGCGGUGAAAUGCUUAGAUAUGUCACAGAACCCCGAUUGCGAAGGCAGCUUACCAGCAUACAACUGACGCUGAGGCACGAAAGUGCGGGGAUCAAACAGGAUUAGAUACCCUGGUA